rnacentral:rRNA from 1 species
AACGCACCUUGCGCCCUUUGGCUAUUCCGAGGGGCAUGCCUGUUUGAGUAUCAUGAACACCUCAACUCUCAUGGUUUGCCAUGAUGAGCUUGGACUUUGGGGGCUUUGCCGGCUUACAGUUGGCUCCUCUCAAAUGAAUCAGCUUGCCAGUGUUUGGUGGCAUCACAGGUGUGAUAACUAUCUACGCUUGCGAUUGCCCACUAGGUAACCUUCAGCAAUGGAGGUUCGCUGGGGCUCAUAGACGUCUCUCCUCAGCGAGGACAGCUUUUGAACGUUCGAUCUCAAAUCAGGUAGGACUACCCGCUGAACUUAA